GAAAGUCGUGUGCAAUGAAAAAUGCAAGCUCGAUUUGGGGAGGGAUUUUUUAUUCUUUAAAAUUUUUUUCUUAAAAGACCAUUCCAAC
rfam:Gossypium raimondii chromosome 1, whole genome shotgun sequence.